rnacentral:lncRNA from 1 species
AAAGAUGCAGAGUCCGUUGCCAUUUCCUUGCUCGAGUCUCUCUUGUCCUACACCUUGGGGGUGAAGAUGCAAGAGACGAAGAGCAGCUGGUCGUUGGUGUCAAAGCUGAUGCAGUCCAAGAAAGUAUCAGAUGACGAGAAUGAGUUCAACAAGGUGGAUUCACUCCUGCAAGUGAAUCAAGAAAACGAGCUCGUGAAUCACAUAAAAGAGAUGGACUCGAGCAUUCAAGUUGUUGAAGAAGAACUCGAAUCAGUAUUCAGGCAGUUGAUCAAGACCAGAGUUUCCCUUCUCAACAUCCUCAACCACUAGCUAGCUUUCAAACUCAUCUUGAGAUUGAAAAUUUUGUAACUUAGUACAUGAAAAUGUACUUGUACAUAUCAAAUUGAUCCACAAGGAUCAUUAUAAUACAGAGACAAAAAAAAAUCUCACACAUAUAUACUUAUUUCAUUUUCCCUGUCCUUGACCAUCUAAUAUUGAGUAUUUGCUAUUUAUUUAUUUGAUUUAGGAAUUUCUUUUAUCUUAAGCAUCUAUGAUGCAUGCUAGGCUGUUUCAUCAUCACGCGUGACAUACUGUGGAAAUACAAAGUUUACGGCAUCAUGCCAUCUUUGUGAAAUCUGAAAUCUCUAAAGAUAUAUAUGGUGGCAUGCUGUGGGAUAAAUCUAUCACAUUUUCUUCUAUAUCCAACUAUCUUCUCCCCCUCAUAAGGUAAUAAAUCUCUCAAAUUUUAAGGUGAUAUUUCAAAUUUUGUAACAGAAAGUUUUAUGCUACCCACUAACUGCAAAAUAUUGGAUUGCAUACCUCAAGUGGGAAGAUUUUUUUCUUGAAAGCUUGGGACAUGGAUUAACAGAUUCUUCUUUUUUGUGGGUAUGAUUUUCUCUUAGCCUUAGAGCAGAAAGUAGCAUCUUGGUUCAUGUGUGAGACAGAUCUCCAGCCCAUCCAAAUUCAGCCUAUUUUUUCAACUUCUUGUGAAAUGAUUCAAUGAAUACGAGGCGAAAGAAGCAACUUAUUGAUCCAGACAAAAGCGUUUUAGGCCGUUUACUCUGUCUGUCAUGUGAUUCAGACAAGCAGCUAAGAGAACUGCCAUGGAAACUGCGGCUUCAAAUCAAUAUUCAAAUAAGGCCUACAAAAUUGAAGAGUUCUGCUGUCUUUAUAGGAAGUGGUAGUAUACAUAUAUAAAGAUGAAUUGACCCGUGUGAUAUCGAUCAAGAUUCACCAUUAUUCCGGCUAUGUCUAUGCAUUCUUUCCUACCAUCAAAACCAAGAAAUUGUUUCAGGCUUUAGUAGUUUGGAUUGCAUCAUAGAUUUGUGUGUUUGCAUCGUCUGAAACCAGCAGUUAUCAAGGAAUAGAAGAUUCUUUCAUUUGGAGAAUCCUUCCCAGUUAUGAAGGAAUAAAAGAUUCAUUCAUUUACUAUUAUUACCAACAGUUAACUUUUCAUAUCUCAGAAGAAAAUAACAACAUAGGCAGCACAAUUACUUGAAUUUGUCAAAUCUCAAGACAAUAUAAUAAUUUAGGACACACGAGGGUAUUGCAUAGUUUAAUACUAUCUCAGCUGUCCAGAUUCCAAAUGUCUCUGAAGAGACAGCAACUACUGAAUAUAUAUCACAUGCUUUCACCUCAGAAAAAACACUAAUAAAAUGUGCAGUUGCGGAUACAGUACAGAUUUCUCUACAAUAUACAAUUAUGUUGGCUACGAUGGUAGGAAACAUUGCGUAGACAUCGCCAUAAUCAUUCAUAAUCCAGAUCAUAUCACACGAGCUCGUCUUAGAAAACAUAAUGUUGUCGUUCAUCUUUUCUAAAUAUUAAGAGAAUGCAUUAUGCUUCCAAACAUCACAAACUUCUUCCUUCAUUCCUCAUUUUCAUCAAGAAAAAGCAAUGGCUCUUCACCACAGCCGCUCUCUUAGCUUCCCAUCUGCAUCACAUCCUGCUCUUACUCACUUCGAUGACAGCUUAUCCAGAGUGAGAUCUUCGGAGGCUGCUUGCUGCUCGCUCUCAUCAAUCAACGCCACAAUAAAUGGCCUCAAAAACCUGUACGAUAGCAUUGAUGAUUUGCUGCUCUUGCCUCACAUUCAACAGGUCGUAUCUGAGGAAUGUGUCGAUGAUUGCAUUAGGCUAUUGGAUGCGUGCAGCUCAGUUAAAGAUCUCAUCUCACUUUCCAAGCAAAAUUUAAGAGAGCUUCUCUCUGCUAUAAGGAGAAAGGAUGUUCGCGGCAUCAAUACCUACCUUGCUUCAAGAAAAAGGUCGAAGAAAAUGAUCCAAAAGUGUUUGAAGAAGUUGAGACGUAGCAGCGCCUCAGCCACUUCUGAGAAUGCUUCCCUGUUGAAAGAUGCAGAGUCCGUUGCCAUUUCCUUGCUCGAGUCUCUCUUGUCCUACAUGUUGGGAACGAAGAUGCAAGAGAGGAAGAGCAGCUGGUCAUUGGUGUCAAAGCUGAUGCAAUCCAAGAAAGCAUCAGACGAAGAGAAUGAGUUCAACAAGGUGGAUUCACUCCUGCAACUGAACCAGGAAAACGAGCUCGUGAAUCACUUGAAACAGAUGGAAUCAAGCAUUCAAGAUGUUGAAGAAGAACUCGAAUCCACAUUCAGGCAGUUGAUAAAAACUAGAGUUUCCCUCCUCAACAUUCUCAACCACUAGCCUUAAAUCUCAUCUUGAGUUUGAAAAUUUUGUAGAGAAUCUAUUAUACAAACUGAAAAUUUUGUACAGAAAUUAUACAAUACAAACUGAAAAUUUCUUAUAAACUCUUGCACAGUACCCUCAUUUUAUUGUGAUAAGAAUCUAUUACAUAUUCUUCUACCAAGUCUCUCUCCCUUGAUUAUAUAUCCAAGGCUACGGUGAUUCUCACAACAUUUUGCAGUGAUCUAGUGGAGAACACACUUGGCUAACAGAAAUGCUAAUGUUGCUACAGAAAGACUGAGGAUUCCUAUCCUAUCAGAGUGUUUUGGACUGCAUAUAUACCAAGAUUUUUCAAUUUUUGGAUAUUCAGAUAAGCUUUAAUAUUUUCAUUUGCAGCAUAUUAUAUGCCUUCUUCAACUGCAGCAGCUUGAAACUAACAUAGAUUCAAGCAACUGAUUCUGAUUUUUGGCCUUUGUACAAAAACAGUCUCUCUCUCUCUUCAAUUUCAAAGGUGAAUCUGCCAUCUUUAUCAGUUCUUCUAAAUAUGCAAAUAAGGCCUAGAAAUUGCACAGGAACAGAGUUAUCAGCCUGUUAUCUAUUUCAAUGAGCUUUUUCGGUUUUGAUUUUGGAUAUUUGCUCAUGUCGUAGAAGCAACGCUCAUUGUUGGUCUUGCCUCACAAUGUUUACAAUAUGAACCUAGCGAGAGACGAAUAUAAAGGAUCUCAUUCCAGCCAAAAUCACACAGUUAUGAAGGAAUAGAAAAGAUUCAGUCAUUGGAGAAAUCAUUCAUUUACUAUAAUACCAACAGUUAAAUUACUUUUCACAUUCUCAGAAGAAAAUAAUAACUUAGGCAGCAAAAUUGCUUGAAUUUAUGAAACUUCUCAAAUCUCAAGACAAUAUAGUAGAAUAGGCCACACGAGGGAGUUGCAUAGUUUAAUACUAUCUCAGCUGUCCAGAUUCCAAAUGUCUCUGCAAAAACAACAAUUACUGAAUAUAUAUCACAUGCAUUCACCACAGAAAUAACACUAAUAAAAUGUGCAGUUGCUAAUAAUGUGGAUCAAAUUGCAGAUUUAACAACAAUUGGCUGUGAUGGUAGGAAACAUUGCGUAGACAUCGCCAAAAUAAUUGAUAAUCCAGAUCAUAUUACACCACUAUAUAUUGAGAAGAGUGCAUUAUGCUUCAAACAUCACAAACUCCUACCUUCAUUCAUCAAUUCAAUUCUAAGCCUCAUUUCCACGGUUCCACCAACAAAAAACAAUGGCUCUUCACCAUGGCCGCUCUCUUAGCUUCCCUUCUUCAUCACAUCCUGCCCUUUCUCACUUUGAUGAGAACAUAUCCAGAUUGAGAUCUUCGGAAGCUGCUUGCUCCUCGCUCUCAUCAAUCAACGCCACAAUAAACAGCCUCAAAAACUUAUACGAGAGCAUUGAUGAUUUGCUGCUCUUGCCUCACAUUCAACAGAUUGUUUCUGAGGAAUGUGUCGAUGAUUACAUCAGCCUAUUGGAUGCUUGCAGCACAGUUAAAGAUCUCGUCUCUCUUGCAAAGCAAGAUUUACGAGAUCUUCUCUCUGCAGUAAGGAGAAAGGAUGCUAAAGGCAUCAAUGGCUACCUUGCUUCCAGAAAAAGGUCGAAGAAAAUGAUCCAAAAGUGUUUGAAGAAGUUGAGACGUAGCAGCGCCUCAACCACUUCUGAGAAUGUUUCCAUGUUGAAAGAUGCAGAGUCCGUUGCCAUUUCCCUGCUCGAGUCUCUCUUGUCCUACACGUUGGGAACGAAGAUGCAAGAGACGAAGAGCAGCUGGUCAUUGGUGUCAAAGCUGAUGCAUUCCAAGAAAGCAUCAGACGACGAGAAUGAGUUCAACAAGGUGGAUGCACUCCUGCAACUGAACCAAGACAACGAGCUCGUGAAUCACUUGAAAGAGAUGGAAUUGAGCAUUCAAGUUCUUGAAGAAGAACUUGAAUCAGUAUUCAGGCAGAUGAUCAAGACCAGAGUUUCCCUUCUCAACAUUCUCAACAACUAGCUUUCAAACUCACCUUGAGAUUGAAAAUUUUGUAACUAGUACAUCAAAAUAUACUUGUAUAUAUCAAAUUGAUCCACAAGGAUAAUUACAAUACAAUCAGAAAAUUUCUGCUACAUUCUUGUUCAAUAUCCUGAUUUUAGUAUAUGCUUAUCCAUUCAUUCCUAUUCUUGACUUGAAUAUACAAGAUAUAUAUAACAUAAUGGCAUUUCAAGAUUUACAGCAUCAUGCUCUGAUCAUAACUGCCAAGAUUUAUAUCUAACAUAUACAAGCAUAUUGAUAAGAUCUAAUCAGUAUUAUUUUAUGCAGCAUGUAUUGAUUCAUGAAUCUUAAUCCGUAAAGAUAUGGAUGUGAUUUUUUCCCCUCAUUAAUUUGAGCUCUAAAAUAUAUUUUUAAACAUAUAUGGAGCUCUAACAAUUGAAUGAAGGCUGGAUAUAUUUUUAAAAUUUGAACUGAUUUUUUCAAUUAAUAGAGAAAUUGUCUCAGGCCUAAGUGAGGCUGGAUAUUUAAAGAUAUUUCAAUGGCUCUGCAUGCGAUGAAGCUAGCUUGACCAACAUGAAUUAUGAGGCAACAAUUGCAAAUUCAUCUAAGUAUUUUUUAUUUUUUGGGUUUGUUUUGUUGUUUGUAUUUCAUCACCACCACUCAAAAUCAUGAUCAAAAAGCAAACUCGAACCAGGAUUUCAAGAAAACCUGAGCUACACUCCAAAAUUUCAUAGUAUCUGCCAUGAUAAUAAUUCUAGAAAAAAAAUAAUUCGAAAUUUAUUGAUAUUGAUGAGGAGGGAAAUAACAAAAGGGUAUAUUUCUUAGAAAAAAUCGACAAAGGCGAAAAAAAAUGGAGGGGUUUUUGUUGGAACUUUUUUGGGUACAAAAAUUACUUCUUCGAUUAUGUGUGUGUGUGUUUUUUUUUAAAUAAUAAAGGAAUCUCGUUGCUGGAAAACACUGGCCUGGUUUUCUUGUUGUCCAUCAUUUUGAUUGGAUAUACUUGUAAAAACCAGAUUAUUUUGUGACUACUGCCAAAACUACACAAUUUUUCAUGAACUCAUGGACUUGUAUUUCUUCUUUGCUGAUUUACAAAUAAGGCCUUUCAAAUUGAACAGAAAGAGUUGUGCAGCCAUCUACCUAUAAUUUAUAGCAUAUAUGGAGAUGAAGGGACAAGAAGAAUCAAAAUUAUUUUUUCAAACAUGAUCAACGUGAUAGUGAUGCAUGGAGAUUCACAAUUAUUUCCGGCUAUGUCUAUGCAUUGUUUCCCACACACUAUUAAAAAACCAUAUUUAUUUCAUGCAUGAAUUCUCACCCAAAGAGAAUAUAAAGAAAAUAUCAUUUUGUAGAUCUUCGGAGGCUGCUUGCUCCUCCCUCUCAUCAAUCAAUGGCCUCAGAAAUUUAUACGAGAGCAUUGAUGAUUUGCUUCUCUUGCCUCACAUUCAACAGAUUGUUUCUGAGGAAUGUGUUGAUGGUUACAUCAACCUAUUGGAUUCUUGCAGCUCAGUUAAGGAUCUCAUCUCACUUUCCAAGCAAAAUUUAAGAGAGCUUUUGUCUGCUGUAAGGAGAAAGGAUGUUCGAGGCAUCAAUGGCUACCUUGCUUCCAGAAAAAGGUUAAAGAAAAUUAUCCAAAAGUGUUUAAAGAAUAUGAGACGUUGCAGCGCCUCAGCCUCUUCUGAGAAUGCUUCCAUGUUGACAGAUGCAGAGUCCGUUGCCAUUUCCUUGCUCGAGUCUCUCUUGUCCUACACGUUGGGGAUGAAAACGCAAGAGAGGAAGAGCAGCUGGUCAUUGCCAUUGGUAACAAAGCUGAUGCAAUCCAAGAAAGCAUCAGACGACGAGAAUGAGUUCAACAAGGUGGAUUCAUUGUUGCAAGUGAACCAAGAAAACGAGCUCGUGAAUCACUUGAAAGAGAUGGACUCGAGCAUUCAAGUUGUUGAAGAAGAACUUGAAUCUGUUUUCAGGAAGAUGAUCAAGACCAGAGUUUCCCUUCUCAACAUUCUCAAUCACUAGCUUUCAAAUGAAAAUUUUCUUCUACAUUCUUGUUCCACGCCCUAUCCUUGACUAAAAAUUGUUGAAUAUUUUCCAGCUUUCAACAUUAGGCCUAAAAGAUGAAAUAUAAAUAUAAUAGAAUUGCAUGUCAAGCCUUAUGAAUAAUCAAUAUUCCGGUGGAAUUAAUGAUAUGUCAAAGGCUCUCACAAUAUUUUCCAUCGAUUCAGUUGCUAUAUAUAGUCAAUCUGUUUUUGGACUGCACAUUAAGGAUGUUGCUGAUUGAUGAGAAUGAUGAAUCUGAGGCCUCAGAAGCUCCAACUGUGACAGCCCAUGUUUAAGGGAUUUCGACUUCAACGGUUAAUAAGCCUACAAAUUGAACAGAAAAGAGUUAUAGCAUAUAUGAAAAUAUUAAGAUUAAAAAUCCAUAUCUAUUUUAUGCAUGAAUUUUCAGCCAAAGGGAAAUACAGGUUGGCUGCAAGAAUAUGAAGCCUCUACCUCAGACAAAAUGAAUUUAAAAAAAUAGAUUCUGCAGAUCUGUGCUUCUGUUUGAGGGUAUAUAAUAUGGACACUGCACGAAGAGCUGACCUUUAUUAAAAGAAAUGCACGUUGAAUCUCGCCUCGUUUCUCAUUCAUCACAAGCUCUCAUGGAGCUGCCAACUGUGUAAACUCUGUGCUGCAUAGAUAAUGAUGGAGCUUUGAUUGCUUAUCUUCAGACAAAUUAAUACAAUAUUCUCAUCAUAUGUUUCUUCACCAAGAGCAAAAAAUGAAAUGUAUUCGUGCAUUACAUUAAAAUAAUUUCAAGAUAACUAUAUUUUAUGGCAGUUAUUCAUGGUCUGUCAUUGGGAAAAUAAUGCAGAUUCCUUAUGUCCUUUUCCUCACUAUAUAAUAAGCACAUAUAUUUUUGUUAGAUGCAUCACAAUUUUCUUGAUUCAAUUCCAAUUCUAAGCCUUACUUUCACCAAGUAAAAAAACAAACAAUGGCUCCCUCACCUUUGAGAUCCAAGUCACUUAACCAUGGCCGCUCUCUUAGCUUCCCAUCUUCAUCACAUCCUGCUCUUACUCACUUCGAUGAGAACUUAUCCAGAUUGAGAUCUUCCGAGGCUGCUUGCUCGUCGCUCUCAUCCAUCAACCGCGCUGCAAAUGGCCUCAGAAACUUAUAUGAGAGCAUCGAUGAUUUGCUUCUCUUGCCUCACAUUCAGCAGAUCGUUUCUGAGGAGUGUGUUGAUGAUUACAUCAGCCUAUUGGAUGCUAGCAGCUCAGUUAAGGAUCUCAUCUCACUCGUGAAGGAAGAUCUACGAGAGCUUCUCUCUGCUGUAAGGAGAAAGGAUGUUCGAGGCAUAAACGGCUACCUUGCUUUAAGAAAGCAGUCGAAGAAAAAGAUCCAAAAGUGUUUAGAAGAAGUUGAGACGUAGCAGCGCCUCAGCCUUUUCUGAGAAUGUUUCCAUGUUGAAAGAUGCAGAGUCCGUUGCCAUUUCCUUGCUCGAGUCUCUCUUGUCCUACACGUUGGGGAUGACAAUGCAAGAAAGCAUCAGACGACGAGAAUGAGUUCAACAAGGUGGAUUCAUUCCUGCAACUGAAUCAAGAAAACGAGCUCGUGAAUCACUUGAAAGAGAUGGACUCGAGCAUUCAAGUUCUUGAAGAAGAACUUGAAUCGGUAUUCAGGCAGAUGAUCAAGACCAGACUUUCCCUUCUCAACAUUCUCAACAACUAGAGAUUGAAAAUUUUGUAACUAGUACAUGAAUAUAUAUACUUGUAUAUAUCAAAUUGAUUCACAAGGAUCAUUACAAUACAAUCAGAAAAUUUUCUGCUACAUUCUUGUUCAAUAUCCUGAUAUUAGUAUAUGCUUAAUUUAUCUAUUCAUUCUUAUUGUUGACUUGAAUAUACAAGAUGACAUAUCAAUACAACAAGAUUUACAGCAUCAUACUAUGUUCAUAACUAACAAGAUUUAUAUCUUACAUGUCUACUAACAAAGUUCUAAUAUUAUCUUAUUCAGUUUGUAAUAAUAUUCUCUCCCUCAUUCUAUAUAAAAUCAACAGCUACAUGACUAUCAAAUCAACAGCUACAAGAUAACUGAGCUCUAAAAUACUAUCUAAACUGAUGUCUUCGACAUUUACAGAAAUCAUCUCAAGCCUAAGUAAGUCUAGCAGGGACUGAAAUGAGACUAAAAGAUUCAACACCACAAAUUUUCAAGUGAUACAUGAACUCGUGGACUUGUAUUUCUUCCUUGAUCAUUUUCACAACAGCCAGACUAGAUCUUCAAACCGAGCUGCAAGCAACCAUUCAAUAUUUUCUCAACUUUGUUGAUAAUGAUCCAACGUGUACAAGGCGAAAAAAGCAAAUCAUCGGUGCAUUUGAGGCCGUUUACUGUCCCUCGUUGAUGACAAUGGUGAAACUGAGGUCUUAGGAGCUCCAACUGCUAAUGGCCAUGUUUGAGGGUUUUCGAUUCCAAAGGUGAAUCUACCAGUUUUUUUUUCCAGUUCAUUCUAAUAAGCAAAUAAGGCCUACAAAUUGAACAGAAAAGAGUUAUGCAGUUGUCUACCUAGCGUUUACAGCAUAUAUGCAGAUGAAGAGGAUCCAUGUGAAAUUGAUUGAGAUUCACAAACCAGCAGACUAUUAAUAAUACAUAUUUAUUUUAUGCAUGGACUUUAAGAACCCUGAUUUAACAUGAUUAACUUAUCUAGUCAUUGCAUAUAAACAUCUAGGAAAUAUAUCAUCUAAAAAAAGCAGCAUUAUAGGUAAGAUCCCACCAACCAAAAGAAAAGAGAGAAGCAAAAUAUUACUACUCGAUCACAUUGUGCUGCUCACAAAUGAAAUUGGUGGAAUUAUAAACCUGAAAUUACAUGCAUCAAUCAAGUAUAGUCGGGUGAUUUCUUCUUCACAUCACAAGCACAUUUCCAAAAGUGGAAACAUAUAAGAAUAACCCAUUUGUUAAAGUUUGCUACACUACAUACCAACUUUCUGAAAUUGAUACACUAGCUACCCUUUUUUAAUUUUUUGUCAUUUAUUAAUUGUAAAUCAAUCUAUUUCAAGUACAAUAUGGAUAUCAACUGUAAAUAUACAAGUCCUAUGAGAAAACAAAGAAUAGCAAAGUUGCAAAAAGCAAGCAGUAACAUAUAAGAUGAAGGCAUGAGUUCUUACUUCAGUGGCAGCUAGUUUCUUUACAUCCUCUUCUGUUUGAAUACAAGAUCCAACAUAAAUUUUCUUUGCUCCGUGAUCUGCAAGAGUAAAAUGAAAGCAUCAGCAUGUUGGAGUUCAAUGUCUGAGUCCAUGGACUUUAAGAACCUUGAUUUAGCUAAUGAAUUAUCACAAAAAACAAAAAUACUGAGAGGUCAAGAGCACAAGCAGAUAAUUAUCACAAGCCUCUAGCUCAGACAAAAUGAAUUAAAAGAAAAUAUGAUUCUGCAGAUCUGUGCUUCUGUAUGAGGGCACAAAGCUAUAUAAUUUGGACGUUGCAGGAAGAGCUGACCUUUAUUAGAAGAAAUGCACGUUGAAUCUCGCCUCGUUCCUCAUUCAUCACAAGGUCUCAUGGAGCUGCCAACUGUGUAAACUCUGUGUUGCAUAGAUAAUGAUGCAGCUUUGAUUGCUUAUUUUCAGACAAAUUAAUACUAUAUUCUAAUCAUAUGUUUCUUCACCAAGAGCAAACCAUUAAAAUAAUUUCAAGACAACUAUAUUUUAUGGUAGUUAUUUAUGGUCUGUCAUUGGGAAAGUAAUGCAGAUUCCUUGAAUCCUUUUCCCCACUAUAUCAUAAGCACAU